rnacentral:rRNA from 1 species
CCUACGGGGGGCAGCAGUGAGGAAUAUUGGUCAAUGGCCGAGAGGCUGAACCAGCCAAGUCGCGUGAGGGAAGAAUGUCCUAUGGAUUGUAAACAUCUUUUGUCAGGGAGCAAAGUCACCCACGUGUGGGGGUUGGAGAGUACCUGAAGAAAAAGCAUCGGAUAACUCCGUGCCAGCAGCCGCGGUAAUACGGAGGAUGCGAGCGUUAUCCGGAUUUAGUGGGGUUAAAGGGUGCGUAGGCGGGUUAUCAAGUCAGCGGUAAAAGCGUGGAGCUCAACUCCAUCCAGCCGUUGAGACUGAUGAUCUUGAGUGGGCUAGAAGUAUGCGGAAUGCGUGGUGUAGCGGUGAAAUGCAUAGAUAUCACGCAGAACUCCGAUUGCGAAGGCAGCAUACCGGCGCCCGACUGACGCUGAAGCACGAAAGCGUGGGGAGCAAACAGGAUUAGAUACCCGGGUAGUC